ensembl:lncRNA
CUCACUCACUCACUCACUCACUGGCACACACACUCACUCACUGACACACACACACACACACACAGAUGUUCAUAUCUUCAUCGCUCUGCUUCUGUCUCUCUCAGGUUGCGUAUUCAGCCCUCCAGUCCUCCUCCUACGCAUCCCAACAACCACCUCUUCAGGCCAGCCAAUCAGAGUCCUCCUCCGGGCAGUCAGGGGGUGAUGCAGGCACACGGCGGGCCAUCUGCGGUUCAGUUUCAGCAUGGCUCCGCCCUCUACCAGUCUCCCAGCGCCAGCCCUCCCCCCACCAGCCUCCCCCGCAUGGCGCUGCCCAAUCAGCAGCCUCCGCCAGGCUCCGCCCGCUCACAGCAGCAGCAGGUGACCAUUCAGGUGCAGGAGGUGGAGCUCGGGGGCGGAGCCCAGCGGCAGGGUUUCCUAGCAACGCCGGCUCACAGAGUUCUGGGGAAGCAGCUGAGCGCUGAUAAUGCAGAAACGCACAGGUGACGCGAGCGCCGCGGACACACUUGAUGCUCUGUUACGCCACGAUCGUUGUGUCCUUUUCAUUUGUUUUGUGCUUUUUGGUUGUUAUAAAAAUAUCGAAUUAUUUUAUUGUUUUAUGUUCUUGUAAAUUUAAAUCGGUGCUGUUUAUGUUUGUUUAAAUGCAGUUCAGCAUGUUUAGUGCUUGCAUAUGAUUUAAGUGAAUCUGUUGUGGAAAUGAUUUGUGUAAUUAUUGAGAGACUCUCCCAGACGUCAGUAUAUGAGUCCAGACGACUGACCGCCGGCCGUCUGAGGUACUGAGAGACAGAAGCAGUAGAUCUGUGUCCUGUGUCGCCUUCACUGGGUGAUGAUUAGAUCAGUGCUGUUAUUAGAUGAGUGCAGUGAUUCCCAACACUGAGCGCUUCACCGGGACAGACUUGUGCCGGUAUUCAGUAAUGCGGUAUAUCGCGGUAAUGAAUAUGCACGAUAUUGUUACCGUGGGCACUUCUAAAUACAGAGAAUAAUUAUAUAUUACAAAUUAUUCAGAAUUUAGAAUGCAUUUUAAGAAUACUGUUCCCAUCAACUUGGCAAAAUGCACAACACCGCUGUAUGCUGCUUGAAAGACGCGUGUGAGCUCUGAUGUAAACAAGCGCAUGAGGAGCACAUGGAGGAACACGUGAGACACGCUGAAUGAAAGCACAUUCACUCUCUGACAACAGAUGGCGCUAAACUGCAGAAAAUGCAGCCCUUACUCUGGAAACUCCAUAUAUAAAGCAGCUGCUACUUUCUAAAACAUAUUUAAUUAAUUUUAAAUAGCCAUUCAGAUUUGUGGAUUUGCUAUGAUGUUCAGAACAGUGGCAAAUACUGAAAUAUUUAGACUUAAUAGGCUAUUUAUUUUCAAACUUUUUUUUUUUAUCUGGACUACAACAUGCCCUAGAUAUUGUGUGAAAGUGUUUUGAUUCUUUAUUGUUCGUUCUAGACAUGUGCCGAUAUUCGGUAAUGCGA